GGCGGUAACCCUUCUGAGCUAAAUUGGGUAGGGGUUUAAGUGGAGGAGAGUCCUUGAAUAUGAGAAUCUUCUUCGUGUCUAGUGUGGAAUGGCUAAGGUGUGAUGAGUGCUUUAGCAAGCAUCUCUCAUUGGCCCCACCAUCUACACCUGAGACAGGACCCAUCUGCCAUGGUACAAGGGCUUUGCACCUCCGUGUGAGCCCUUGUUGUUUUGUCUAUCACUCCUGAGCUA
rnacentral:siRNA from 1 species